GGGGUUGUGGCUCAGUGGUAGAGCAUUUGCCUAGCGUGUAUGAAGACUGGGUUCGAUCCCCAGCACCACA
rnacentral:tRNA from 1 species